ensembl:snRNA U6 U6 spliceosomal RNA
GUGCUCACUUUGGCAGCACAUGUAAUAAAAUAGGAAUGAUAUAGAGAAGAUCUACAUGGCCCUGUGCAAGGAUGAUGUGCAAAUUAUAAGAAAAAGCAAUAUUGAUUUUU